rnacentral:tRNA from 1 species
GCUGGUUUGGCUUAGUGGUUAGAGCAUCAGCCUGCAGACUGAAAGGUCCCGGGUUCAAUUCCGGCAAAGGGCA